UUUGUACUCCCUCCAUCCCAAAAUUCUUGUCUUAAAUUUGUCUAAAUACGAAUGUAUCUAGUUACAUUUUAGUGUUAGAUACAUCCGUAUCUAAACAAAUGUAAGACAAGAAUUUUGGGACGGAGGGAAUACUAC
rnacentral:pre_miRNA from 1 species